CCCCCUCUCAUUUGGAGAGAACCAGCUUCCCACUAUCGCUGUAAUUUUGCCGCCACAAGAGUUUACCAUCGGCUUGUAACUAUCCGACCGGUCGUUUUGAGCUAUAGUACGUCGUUCGCUGGUUUGAGGCCUCGAGUAGCUUCACUUUAUGUAUUAUCACCUACACGUGUGUCCCGUUUCGGUUUUCGGAAAGUUCGGAGUUGAUUUAGAAGGAUAAUUCUCAAUUCGGAAGCUUUAAGUUGGAAGAGUUGAUCAAUGUUUGACUUUUGAGUAAACGGUCUCGUAAUCGGGAUUUGAAAGUUCCAAUAGGUUCGUAUGAUGAUUUUAGACUUGGGCCUAUGUUCGGGUUAAGUAUUGGAUGGUCCGGGAGCUUUUCGACGCUUAGUGUAAAAAGUUGGCAUUUUGAAGGUUUUAGAAUUUUUUAAGUUUAAUUUGAAGUGGACUUUGGUGUUAUUGAUGUCCAUUUGGGAUUCUGAGCCUUGGAAUAGGUUUGUAUUGUAAUUUAUGACUUAUAUGUAAAAUUUGGCGUCAUUCCGGAACGUCUAAGUGUGAUUCAGACGCGUUUGACGAAGUUUGAUGUUUGAAAGUUAAAAGAAGGAUUUUGAUAUCUUGGUUUUGAUGUUAUUUGUGGCAUUUCGAUACUUAAAAUAAGUUUGGAUAAGGUGUUAAGACUGAUUGGAAUGAUUGGACAGGGUCCUGGGGCCACGGGUGUGAUUCGGGGUGGUUUUAGACAAAGUUUAGAUGAUUUGAUGGUGCUGGUUGCUGGUACUUGUGUUGUGCUAUGCGAUCGCGAGUGGACUUACACGAUCGUGAAGAAGGAAUUUGGUGGCUUCCUUUUUGUGCUUCGCGAACACAAAGUACGAUUCACGAACGCGAAGAAGGACUAGGGGGUCAGGGGACUUUACCCUACAUGAACACAACAUUGUAGUCGCGAACGCGAAGAGUUGCCGGGCUAGCCGUUUGCCCUUUACGAACGCGGAGAGGCAAUCACGAACGCGAAGGAGGAGUUCUAGGCUGGGGGCGAGUUGGGUAUCGUGAACGGGAUGGAUUGGACGUGAACGCAAAGCAACGGACUGUUAGUCCUUCGCGAACGCGACGAGGGGUACGCGAACGCAAUGAAGGUCGGGCCUGGGCAAAAUUGUUUUAAUACGAGACUUGGCUCUCAUUUCUCUCAUUUCCACUGGGGUUGGCCGAAUUUGGGGAGCUAUUUUGAGGGGAUUUUCAUCAAGCAACACAAGGUAAGCGAAUUCUACCCGCUUGUGAGCUAAAUACAUGAGUUAUAUAUGGAUUUAAGCAUGGAAAUUUGUAAAAAUUAUGGAAUUUUUGAAGAAAACCUAGAAAUUGAAUUUUUGGAUUUUGACCACGAAAUUGGAUAUGGAAUUAGGAAUAAAUUAUAUAUUUGAGUUCCUUGUGUUAUGGGUAAUGUUUAUCUUUGAAUAUUUUCAGAAUCCGGGCACGUGUGCCUGAGGGUUAACUUUGUUGAAUUUUCUAGCGGAGUUGGAAAUUAUUAUAAAUUGAUUAAUUAUGAGUAUUGGAGUAUAUUUUUUAUUGGUUUGCACGUUGUUUGUCUAAUUUCGGACGAUGGGAAUUGGUUUGAGGUGUUAGAGAGGCGUUGGAGCCAGUUGUGAAACUUCAGAGAGAGGUAUAUCCCUUGCCUAACCUUGUGAGGGGGAAUUACCCUAUAGAUGAUGUAUUUGUUAUGUGCUACUUGUUGUGGGGGUUACGUAUGCACGAGUUGACGAGAGUCCAUACAUAGCUAACAUCAUACUUAUGUCCGGGUCGACUUAGGACUAUAUCAUGCGAUAUUUGUACUACCUGAACUCAACUUGUUACUUUAAUUACCCAAACUUGUAAAUGUAAUUUGAUUAGAGAUCAUGCUAGGUCGAAUCUUGAAACCUUGUUUGGCGGGAUAUCUGACUGCUGGUAACAAUUAUGCUUAUUUUAUGUUCCUGUUCUUGUGUUGCAAACACGUGACCCGUUAUUCGAUAAGUUUCUCUCUUUUUUGUGCAUCUGGCCAAAUGCCUCAGCAGUAUAUUGAGAUGCAUCUAUGGUUCGCGCCGGUCGACUCUCGGCAGUGUACACAGUAUUCUGGAUUGGGCAGUACGACCUCGGCAUAACCCGUGCAUAAUAUCGCGAGGAGUCCAAAUAUUCAUGAGAUUCUUCUUUGAUUGGAAUAUGGCAGUUACAUGAGAUGCCUUAUUUGUUGAGAUAACGCUUGAUAUCCCUUACCCGUUUGAGGUCGCCUUUGAUUCUUUUAUUUGUUAAGAUAGUACAUGAGAUAUGAGGAAUUUAUGUUGUCACCAGGUUGGAGGAUUAUGUUAGUUACAAUUCUUACCUCAUUAUUACUGUUGUGUUUCAUAUAUAUUUAUAAUUUAUUAUAUUGAUAUAUUGGAUCACUAGUAAAUGUCAAUGUCGACCCCUCGUCACUUCUUCUUCAGGGUUAUGCUAGAUACUUACUAGGUACGCAUUGAUAUACGUACUCAUGCUACACUUCUAUACUAAUUGUGCAGGAUCUGACAGGUUCAUUUAGUGGUCAUCUUGACGUGUAGGCGCAACUGCUGAG
rnacentral:lncRNA from 1 species